CCCUGACUCUGGGAUAAGCGGUGGAAACGCCGUCUAAUACCGGAUACGACCCGCCACCUCAUGGUGGAGGGUGGAAAGUUUUUCGGUCAGGGAUGGGCUCGCGGCCUAUCAGCUUGUUGGUGGGGUAACGGCCUACCAAGGCGAUUACGGGUAGCCGGCCUGAGAGGGCGACCGGCCACACUGGGACUGAGACACGGCCCAGACUCCUGCGGGAGGCAGCAGUGGGGAAUAUUGCGCAAUGGGCGAAAGCCUGACGCAGCGACGCCGCGUGGGGGAUGACGGCCUUCGGGUUGUAAACCUCUUUUACCACCAACGCAGGCUUCCAGUUCUCUGGAGGUUGACGGUAGGUGGGGAAUAAGGACCGGCUAACUACGUGCCAGCAG
rnacentral:rRNA from 1 species